AGGGAUGAUGAAGAAAACCGACAAACCUAGGAAUUCCUCUUUCCGAAUACACAAUGUCGAUUUGUUUUUAGUUUCAGCCUUGUCUGACC
rnacentral:snoRNA from 1 species